rnacentral:RNase_P_RNA from 1 species
CAAGUAGGCCGGGCAAUCGCGGGCGCCGGCCUUUGGCGUCUGAGGAAAGUCCGAGCUCCGCAGGACAGGGUGCUGGGUAACACCCAGCGAGGGUGACCUCAGGGAAAGUGCAACAGAAAUCAUACCGCCGCGGUCUUGCGACCGUCGGUAAGGCUGAAACGGUGCGGUAAGAGCGCACCAGCGGCCAGGUGACUGGCCGGCUAGGUAAACCCCACCUGGAGCAAGACCAAGUAGGGGAAGGCUAAGGUGGUCCGCCGACUUCCCGGGUUUGGUCGCUUGAGGUGCCUGGCAACUGGUACCCUAGAUAGAUGAUUGCCGCUUCGAUCUGGAUGCAGCCUGUGGCGGGUAGCCUGUCAAGGCACUCAGCUUGCAGGAGGCGGCCGGAGAGAAGACACAGAACUCGGCUUACAGGCCUACUUGCAAA